UACGAAGGGGGCUAGCGUUGCUCGGAAUCACUGGGCGUAAAGCGCGCGCAGGCGGCAUGGCAAGUAAGGUGUGAAAUCUCCCUGCCUAACGGGGAGGGUGCAUUUUAGACUGCCAAGCUAGAGGACGGUAGAGGGGGGGUAGAAUUGAUGGUGUAGCGGUGAAAUGCAUAGAUACCAUCAAGAACACCGAUUGCGAAGGCAGCUUACUAGCUGUAACUGACGCUGAGGCACGAAAGCGUGGGGAUCGAACAGG
rnacentral:rRNA from 1 species